rnacentral:rRNA from 1 species
UACGUAGGGGGCAAGCGUUGUCCGGAAUCAUUGGGCGUAAAGCGCGUGUAGGCGGCCCGAUAAGUCCGCUGUGAAAGUCCAGGGCUCAACCCUGGAAUGCCGGUGGAUACUGUCGGGCUCGAGUCCGGAAGAGGCGAGUGGAAUUCCUGGUGUAGCGGUGAAAUGCGUAGAUAUCAGGAGGAACACCGGUGGCGAAGGCGGCUCUCUGGACGGUGACUGACGCUGAGACGCGAAAGCGUGGGGAGCAAACAGG